rnacentral:rRNA from 1 species
UACGAAGGGGGCUAGCGUUGCUCGGAAUCACUGGGCGUAAAGCGCACGUAGGCGGGUCGUUAAGUCGGGGGUGAAAUCCUGGGGCUCAACUCCAGAACUGCCUUCGAUACUGGCGAUCUUGAGUCUGGGAGAGGUGAGUGGAACUCCGAGUGUAGAGGUGAAAUUCGUAGAUAUUCGCAAGAACACCAGUGGCGAAGGCGGCUCACUGGCCCGAUACUGACGCUGAGGCACGAAGGUCAGGGGAGCAAACGGG